AGAUCAGAUCAGAAGCGAGAAUGUUGACAUGAGUAGCGAUAAAGAGGGUGAGAGACCCUCUCGCCGUAAGUCCAAGGGUUCCUGCUUAAAGCUAAUCUGAGCAGGGUAAGCCGGCCCCUAAGGCGAGGCCGAAAGGCGUAGUCGAUGGGAACCAGGUUAAUAUUCCUGGGCCAGGAGGAAGUGACGGAUCUCGAAGGUAGUUUGCCCUUAUCGGAUUGGGUGGGCUGCUCAGAGGUUCCAGGAAAUAGCCCUCCAUCAGACCGUACCCUAAACCGACACAGGUGGACUGGUAGAGUAUACCAAGGCGCUUGAGAGAACCACGUUAAAGGAACUCGGCAAAAUGCCUCCGUAAGUUCGCGAGAAGGAGGCCCCAUAUGUGCGCAAGCAUGUGUGGGGGGCACAAGCUAGGGGGUGGCGACUGUUUACUUAAAACACAGGGCUGUGCGAAGCCGUAAGGCGACGUAUACAGUCUGACGCCUGCCCGGUGCUGGAAGGUUAAAAGGAGGGGUGCAAGCUCUGAAUUGAAGCCCCAGUAAACGGCGGCCGUAACAAUAACGGUCCUAAGGUAGCGAAAUUCCUUGUCGGGUAAGUUCCGACCUGCACGAAUGGCGUAACGAUCUCCCCGCUGUCUCUAACGUGGACUCAGCGAAAUUGAGCUGUGUGUCAAGAUGCACACUACCCGCGGUUAGACGGAAAGACCCCAUGCACCUUUACUCCAGCUUUGCACUGGUAUCAGGAUUGUGAUGUGCAGGGUAGGUGGUAGGCAUCGAAGCGGGGACGCCAGUUCUCGUGGAGCCUCCCUUGAGAUACCACCCUUCGCCAUCUUGAUAUCUAACCGCGGCCCGUUAUCCGGGUCCGGGACCCUGCAUGGUGGGGAGUUUGACUGGGGCGGUCGCCUCCCAAACAGUAACGGAGGCGCGCGAAGGUAGGCUCAGACCGGUCGGAAAUCGGUCGUUGAGUGCAAUGGCAGAAGCCUGCCUGACUGCAAGUCUGACAAGACGAGCAGAGACGAAAGUCGGUCAUAGUGAUCCGGUGGUCCCAAGUGGGAGGGCCAACGCUCAACGGAUAAAAGGUACGCUGGGGAUAACAGGCUGAUGAUGCCCAAGAGUCCAUAUCGACGGCAUCGUUUGGCACCUCGAUGUCGGCUCAUCUCAUCCUGGGGCUGGAGCAGGUCCCAAGGGUAUGGCUGUUCGCCAUUUAAAGAGGUACGUGAGCUGGGUUUAGAACGUCGUGAGACAGUUCGGUCCCUAUCUGCCGUGGGUGUAGGAGACUUGAGAAGAGUUGCCCCUAGUACGAGAGGACCGGGGUGAACGAACCACUGGUGGACCAGUUGUCGUGCCAACGGCAGUGCUGGGUAGCUAUGUUCGGACAGGAUAACCGCUGAAGGCAUCUAAGCGGGAAGCCCCCUUCAAAACAAGGUCUCCCUUGAGAGCCGUGGAAGACCACCACGUCGAUAGGCCGGAGGUGUAAGUGCAGCAAUGCAUUCAGCUGACCGGUACUAAUUGCUCU
rnacentral:rRNA from 1 species